AUUGAACGCUGGCGGCAGGCCUAACACAUGCAAGUCGAACGAGUGGCGGACGGGUGAGUAAUGUCUGGGCAACUGCCUGAUGGAGGGGGUUAACUACUGGAAACGGUAGCUAAUACCGCCUACCAUCGGCUGUGCCCAGUUGGGAUUAGCUAGUAGGUGGGGUAACGGCUCACCUAGGCGACGAUCCCUAGCUGGUCUGAGAGGAUGACCAGCCAAACUGGAACGGAGACACGGUCCAGACUCCUACGGGAGGCAGCAGUGGGAAAUAUUGCACAAUGGGCGAAAGCCUGAUGCAGCAAUGCCGGGUGUAUGAAGAGGGCCUUCGGGUUGUAAAGUACUUUAAGCGGGGAGGCGUUACCCGCAGAAGAAGCACCGGCUAACUCCGUGCCAGCCGCCGCGGUAAUUC
rnacentral:rRNA from 1 species